UCUCACUCCUGUUUAUCAAUACUGUACCAUCACUGGUACCAUUAAUUACCAUGCAUGACACAGUGUUAUGUGUUGUCAACAUGGCAGCGUCCUUGAGGUGGCGACCCACUCCAUGUAAAAUUAAACAGCUGUUAUAAGAUGUCUGAUAUGACUGGGGUCUCCAUCGCAUCUCUUACGGUGUGCUUUGGAGUCAAAAUAUGUGGAAGGAAUAAAAGGAGGACAAUCACAAACAUCAGUGAAAGAGAGCCAAUUUGCCACAGACACACUAAGCUCUUCUUUAACAACCUGUCUAGACAGCAUCUGUCCUCUCUCCUCAAGGCCAGCACGUACUACACCACCCAGCCCCUGGCUCUCUGACGUCCUUCAUGAACAUCGGACUGACCUCAGGGUAGCUGUGAGGAGAUGGCGGAAAUCUAAAGAUCCAGCAGAUCUAGAACAAGCUGCUGGAUGACAAUCAGGCAGGCUUUAAAAGUGGACACUCCACCGAGACUGCCCUGCUGUCUGUCACUGAGUCGCUGAGACAAGCGAAAGCUGAAUCCAGAUCAUCUGUCCUGAUUCUGUUGGACCUUUC